UACGUAGGGGGCGAGCGUUGUCCGGAUUUAUUGGGCGUAAAGAGCUCGUAGGCGGUUCCGUGAGUCGGCUGUGAAAUCUCCACGCUCAACGUGGAGGGGUCAGUCGAUACUGCGGUGACUCGAGUCCGGUAGGGGAGUGUGGAAUUCCCGGUGUAGCGGUGAAAUGCGCAGAGAUCGGGAGGAACACCCGUAGCGAAGGCGGCACUCUGGGCCGGUACUGACGCUGAGGAGCGAAAGCGUGGGGAGCAAA
rnacentral:rRNA from 1 species